rnacentral:rRNA from 1 species
AGAGUUUGAUCCUGGCUCAGAACGAACGCUGGCGGCAGGCUUAACACAUGCAAGUCGAACGCACCGCAAGGUGAGUGGCAGACGGGUGAGUAACGCGUGGGAACGUGCCCUUCAGUUCGGGAUAACCCAGGGAAACUUGGGCUAAUACCGGAUACGUGCGAGAGCAGAAAGAUUUAUCGCUGAAGGAUCGGCCCGCGUCUGAUUAGCUAGUUGGUAGGGUAAUGGCCUACCAAGGCGACGAUCAGUAGCUGGUCUGAGAGGAUGAUCAGCCACAUUGGGACUGAGACACGGCCCAAACUCCUACGGGAGGCAGCAGUGGGGAAUAUUGGACAAUGGGCGCAAGCCUGAUCCAGCCAUGCCGCGUGAGUGAUGAAGGCCUUAGGGUUGUAAAGCUCUUUCGUCCGGGACGAUAAUGACGGUACCGGAAGAAGAAGCCCCGGCUAACUUCGUGCCAGCAGCCGCGGUAAUACGAAGGGGGCUAGCGUUGUUCGGAAUCACUGGGCGUAAAGGGCGCGUAGGCGGCCUGAUAAGUCGGGGGUGAAAGCCUGUGGCUCAACCACAGAAUUGCCUUCGAUACUGUCGGGCUUGAGACCGGAAGAGGUAAGUGGAACUGCGAGUGUAGAGGUGAAAUUCGUAGAUAUUCGCAAGAACACCAGUGGCGAAGGCGGCUUACUGGUCCNNNNCUGACGCUGAGGCGCGAAAGCGUGGGAGCAAACAGGAUUAGAUACCCNNGUAGUCC